rnacentral:pre_miRNA from 1 species
CUAUGUCUACUAGCCUGGCUCUAUGUCUACUAGCCUGGCUCUAUUAGUAGACAUAGAGCUGGGCUAGUAGACAUAGAGCUGGGCUAGUAGACAUAGAGCU